GUCAGUCCAUUGCCUUUCUCCCUGGACAUGUGCAUUCCAUGAUUUCCAACGUGUAAGCUGUCUGCUGCUUGGAAACUCAACACCUCAUCAUCAUUUAUAAUCCACUGAUAAUUUCUGCAAAGUUCAUAAAAUGAAAAUAAAUUCCCCUCGGACAGGGAGGGAAUUAUUGGUAUUUGAUGGCCAACAGCUAGCUGCUCGCUUUGAACAUUUAACAUUGCUGAAGAAGGAACACCUACUUUAACUUCACCAUAUGCCUGACAAGUAAAGAUAUCUCCAUUCCUGUACAUUUUGGCAACUAUGGUGGUGUUUCCAGGUGAUGUUGCAGAAACUAGUCCUGUGGUUGUGUGGACCUUUGCGACCUCAUUAUCCAUACUGACAAACUCAAUGUACGCACUAGUUUUUGGGCCUCCCCUCACAGUAAGCAUGUAAGAAGCCCCUGGUACAAGGAAAAUAUCACUAGGAUCGAUUCUAGGUGGUGCAUAGACUUCUACCUUAAUUGGCUGGCUCAGUAUCUCAUGUCCAGUAUGCUGUCUAGCACUGACAUACAGUGUGGUAAUCCCAAGGCGCGUUGCCCGUAUUCUGAAGUUAGGCACAUUCACAUAUCCAUCAUCACAACAGGAAAAAUCAUCUUCAUUGACGAGUUCAAUUAUAUGAUCCUCAAUGUGAACACGAAUAUUCAUGUAAACAUACUGUGAAGGAUCAAAAGUAUUUCCAUCACUUACUCCAGCAAGAAAAUCAAU
rnacentral:misc_RNA from 1 species